GUUGUGGGAAAAUCUUCGCCCACUGGACCAAAGAAUGUCAAGAGCUCAUUGCUGGAAAGCAUACUCCGGUCUUCAGUCUAAAGAGGAAGGCAGAGCAGCAGGACAUAGAGGUUAGAAAAUUGCCUUGUAAAAACAGUAUUAUCUCAGUGGGAGUCCUUCAAAAUGCACACAGUUGUAUGGAUCAACAUUGUCUCGAUGUAUUUGGUAAUUGAUGUUACUUUUCAAAUUGCCUUGUCAAGGAAACCAUGACGCAGACGGUAUCGGAUGUCCAAAGAAUGUGCAUGGCAGAUUCAAUGCAAUUCUGUGUCUACCAGACAUCGAACAACACAGGAGAGAGGUGUGUUGCAGACUCAAUUUAAUAAAUGCAAUUAUCGGGGCCUAUUCAGUGAUUUUCCAUGAAGUGACCACUUUUACAUAUAGUUUAAAUGCACGAAUCAUGCAGGAAAAUUAUUUAUACAUUCAAAUGUGCUGCAGAGGUAUAAUCAAUUGGACAGCGUGUUUGUUUGAUAUUAUGUUUGUCUCUCAUUUGAUCAGAUUGCUUUACCCUGAGGUAAACGUCAUAAAAUGGGUCCAGUGCAAGACGUGCAGGGGCUGGCUGCAUCAGGAUUGUGCUGGGAUUGAAAUGGAGCCGUUUGACUGCGGGUGCGAGGACUCCAUUGAGCAUCCUCGGUAUAACAUAAUUUAUCAAGGAAACAUAGUAUCAGUCAAAAAUACGAGGCUCAAAGGAUGAAAAAAUGAGGGCUUGCUCUUUUCUUAUUUCUCUGCAGGAUCAAGGAUGCUGUUGACAGUUGAGGAAUUCAUGCUGUCUUUUCUAAGACACAGAUCAAGGUUGCUUUUGAAUGCACUAUCAGUUGUUAAAGCCACCGUUUCUUUUUCAGAUGAUUACAUUUUUGUCUCUUGCUCUUUGGUUUCAGACAUUACAUGAUGAUCUACUGUCUGGAAAGAUCCGCUCCAACAGAAUGUUCCUUUGGAGGAAUCCCGCCACCUCACUCCGACUAAAGCAGCAUCUUAAGAUAAGGACACUAAGUUGGAGUGAGCAGCGCGUAAGUAAAAAUGCCAUCCAUCAUGAGUAUUUUUACUCUCAGGGGUGUUACAUUUGAAAGGUGUUUACUUUCUGUGUUUUUCUUCAAUAGAUGUUCGAGCUCCUGCGGUUCAUUGAGGUGGCAACAAACAUUUCUAAAAAAAUAAAGAGAGGCGAGAUUCAUCUGCUUGAUUUCGUUUUUGACGUCAUGCUCCCAGAGGUGAGUAGAUCAAACUAUAUAGCUUGCUUUGAAAAUUGAUGAUAUUGUUAAGAGGUUGUUCUUAUUCAUUUGGAAAGCUCAAGAACAACAAUUAACCCAUACUGCAUAACUUCAAUUGUUCACAUUAUUUGACUGUUUUUCAGCUUUUGAUCAAAGCACUGAAGGAGCAUGGCAUCAACCGGUUCAGAGCAGAGCUGAUGAUGGCCUGUGGCAACGUGUUUUAAGCCCCCCACCACACCGACGUGCUGAAUUUUGUAUAUAUAUAUAUUUUUUUUUACUGUUCACAAUUUUGUUU